AUUGAACGCUGGCGGCAGGCUUAACACAUGCAAGUCGAGCGGAGAUGAGGUGCUUGCACCUUAUCUUAGCGGCGGACGGGUGAGUAAUGCUUAGGAAUCUGCCUAUUAGUGGGGGACAACAUUCCGAAAGGAAUGCUAAUACCGCAUACGUCCUACGGGAGAAAGCAGGGGAUCUUCGGACCUUGCGCUAAUAGAUGAGCCUAAGUCGGAUUAGCUAGUUGGUGGGGUAAAGGCCUACCAAGGCGACGAUCUGUAGCGGGUCUGAGAGGAUGAUCCGCCACACUGGGACUGAGACACGGCCCAGACUCCUACGGGAGGCAGCAGUGGGGAAUAUUGGACAAUGGGGGGAACCCUGAUCCAGCCAUGCCGCGUGUGUGAAGAAGGCCUUAUGGUUGUAAAGCACUUUAAGCGAGGAGGAGGCUACUGAGACUAAUACUCUUGGAUAGUGGACGUUACUCGCAGAAUAAGCACCGGCUAACUCUGUGCCAGCAGCCGCGGUAAUACAGAGGGUGCGAGCGUUAAUCGGAUUUACUGGGCGUAAAGCGUGCGUAGGCGGCUUUUUAAGUCGGAUGUGAAAUCCCCGAGCUUAACUUGGGAAUUGCAUUCGAUACUGGGAAGCUAGAGUAUGGGAGAGGAUGGUAGAAUUCCAGGUGUAGCGGUGAAAUGCGUAGAGAUCUGGAGGAAUACCGAUGGCGAAGGCAGCCAUCUGGCCUAAUACUGACGCUGAGGUACGAAAGCAUGGGGAGCAAACAGGAUUAGAUACCCUGGUAGUCCAUGCCGUAAACGAUGUCUACUAGCCGUUGGGGCCUUUGAGGCUUUAGUGGCGCAGCUAACGCGAUAAGUAGACCGCCUGGGGAGUACGGUCGCAAGACUAAAACUCAAAUGAAUUGACGGGGGCCCGCACAAGCGGUGGAGCAUGUGGUUUAAUUCGAUGCAACGCGAAGAACCUUACCUGGCCUUGACAUACUAGAAACUUUCCAGAGAUGGAUUGGUGCCUUCGGGAAUCUAGAUACAGGUGCUGCAUGGCUGUCGUCAGCUCGUGUCGUGAGAUGUUGGGUUAAGUCCCGCAACGAGCGCAACCCUUUUCCUUACUUGCCAGCAUUUCGGAUGGGAACUUUAAGGAUACUGCCAGUGACAAACUGGAGGAAGGCGGGGACGACGUCAAGUCAUCAUGGCCCUUACGGCCAGGGCUACACACGUACUACAAUGGUCGGUACAAAGGGUUGCUACACAGCGAUGUGAU
rnacentral:rRNA from 1 species